AUUGAACGCUGGCGGCAUGCCUUACACAUGCAAGUCGAACGGCAGCGGACCUUCGGGUGCCGGCGAGUGGCGAACGGGUGAGUAAUAUAUCGGAACGUACCUUUCAGUGGGGGAUAACGUAGCGAAAGUUACGCUAAUACCGCAUAUUCUGUGAGCAGGAAAGCAGGGGAUCGCAAGACCUUGCGCUGAUUGAGCGGCCGAUAUCAGAUUAGCUAGUUGGUGAGGUAAAGGCUCACCAAGGCGACGAUCUGUAGCGGGUCUGAGAGGAUGAUCCGCCACACUGGAACUGAGACACGGUCCAGACUCCUACGGGAGGCAGCAGUGGGGAAUUUUGCGCAAUGGGCGAAAGCCUGACGCAGCAACGCCGCGUGGGUGAAGAAGGUCUUCGGAUCGUAAAGCCCUGUCAGGAGGGACGAAACAAAUGACGGUACCUCCAAAGGAAGCACUGGCUAACUCCGUGCCAGCAGCCGCGGUAAUGUCUAG
rnacentral:rRNA from 1 species